rnacentral:rRNA from 1 species
UACAGAGGGGGCGAGCGUUGUUCGGAAUUACUGGGCGUAAAGGGCGCGUAGGCGGCCUGUUAAGUCGAACGUGAAAUCCCCGGGCUCAACCCGGGAACUGCGUCCGAUACUGGCAGGCUUGAAUCCGGGAGAGGGAUGUGGAAUUCCAGGUGUAGCGGUGAAAUGCGUAGAUAUCUGGAGGAACACCGGUGGCGAAGGCGGCAUCCUGGACCGGUAUUGACGCUGAGGCGCGAAAGCCAGGGGAGCAAACGGG